rnacentral:rRNA from 1 species
GCACAGAGUCUCAAUGCUCUAAAGGCACCAGAUCCAGUUUGAUCUUGGAAGCUAAGCAGGGUCAGCCAUGGCUGGUGCUUGGAUGGGAGUCCACCAAUGAAUCCCAAGCACUUUGAGUG